GGUCCACAUGUUAUCUUUCCAAUUCUGAGGGAGAGAGAAACCAACCAUAGCAGAAGAAACAUCAAAGAUGGCAGCCAACCCUAAUUUUAAGAUAAUAUUAGGUUCUUCUUCAAUGGCUCGAAGAGAAAUAUUAAAAGAGAUGGGAUAUGAUUUUACAAUUAUGACUGCUGACAUUGAUGAAAAGAGUAUUAGGAGGGAUAAACCUGAGGAUUUGGUAGUGACUUUAGCCGAGGCAAAGGCUGAUGCUAUAAUUGCAAGACUUGGAAUUACAGGCCAUAAGGAGGAAAAUGCAUACCCAACAUUGCUAAUAACUGCUGACACAGUGGUCGUGUAUGAAGGAACGAUUAGAGAAAAACCAUCAAGCAAAGAAGAGGCACGCCAUUUCGUCAAAGGAUAUUCUGGUGGCUGUGCUAUUGUUGUGGGAUCUGUAGUGAUAACUAACCUUACUACCGGGAUCAAGAAACGAGGAUGGGAUAGGUCGGAGGUCUAUUUCCAUGAUAUACCAGAUGAGGUCAUUGAUAGACUGGUAGAUGAUGGGGUGACUCUUAAUGUGGCUGGAGGACUUAUGCUUGAACAUCCAUUAACGGCUCCCUUUGUAGACACUGUGGUUGGAACUGCUGAUGGUGUUAUGGGACUCUCUAAAUCUCUCACCAAGAAACUACUUGAAGAAUCUCUCGAGUCCUCUUAGCUGCACAAGUGUAAAUCCUAGCAGAUACUAUGAUUUUGAACAGCCAUAUGUGCUAGCGAGGGUUAUACCUUGGUUACCGAAGGCAAUAUGGUAGCGUGGCAGAUUUCUACAUAAAAUUUGUGUUUGAGAAACAACACAAAUUGGUCCUACUUAAACUUGGCAGUCCCGCAGGUGCACUAACCCGAUUUCUCCUCACAUUUGUGAUGUUUUCUUUUUAUGUCAGCUUUGUCAACUCUAGCUUUGUUCUGUAGUCUAGUUCGUUCUUUUUAUUAUAACCAAAUAUGAAUUGUUUCGUAUCAAAAUCUUGUUUUUUAUUCAAACUUGGUAUCUUAUAAAAAAAAAAAAAGUAACUUCCUCUGGUUUGAGUAUGCAUCGCAGUAGACUUGGACUAUGUGGAGUUGGCUAUAGUAUAGGAAAUAAAUUGAUGGAAUCGAUUGCGUCAAGUUGUCUAGAAUGAUGGUAUAUUGUUGUAUCAACUUUAAUGCUGAUUCAUUUGAAAAUUAUGAAGUGAUGCAUAUGGUUUAUUA